rnacentral:rRNA from 1 species
UACGUAGGGGGCAAGCGUUGUCCGGAUUUAUUGGGCGUAAAGAGCGUGUAGGCGGCCAAACAGGUCAGCUGUGAAAACUCGAGGCUCAACCUCGAGACGUCGGUGGAAACCGUUUGGCUAGAGUCCGGAAGAGGAGAGUGGAAUUCCUGGUGUAGCGGUGAAAUGCGCAGAUAUCAGGAGGAACACCGGUGGGCGAAGGCGGUUCUCUGGGCCUUACCUGACGCUGGAGGAGCGAAAAGCGUGGGGAGCGAACAGG